AUUACUUUGGUAGAAAAGGAAUUGUUCAGUGAUUUUAAGAUUUAAAAUUGAUUAUGUGAAAUUUCUUUUUCCAAAUUGCAAAGGUCAUUUAUCCAUCAGAAAAGAAAUCUCUGUUUCUGGAUCACAAGUGAAGACAAAAAGAUGUCUAGAAACAACAAGGGCAUUCAUGUGGAAGAGAGGCUGCAAUGUGUCUAGGUGGGUAUGUGGCACUUUACCACACGGAACCCAGAGAGAUGGGGUGUCAUGUGGUGUUUUUGUCUUAAAGUUUGCUGAGUCUAUACUGGAAGGAAAUCCCCUUACCUUUGACUCGAACACAAAAGCCAUAAACACCAUAAGAUUCAACAUUGCCACCACUCUCCUUCGUGAUUCCGGUGUGUUUAUUUUGUGGCUUGACUAUUUUGUGUUAUACUGUCAAUAAGUAAUGGAUUGUUUUAGGCUUUACACAGCAAAAAAAAAUAU